rnacentral:misc_RNA from 1 species
UUUUAGAUAUUGGGAUCGUUAAGCUUCUUUGCAACAGGAUCCUAUCAAAGAAAAGUUGGCCAAAAUUUUCUUACUUGCAUGUCCCAAACUUCAUUAAGUCGUUCUCUUCAUGCAACUGUCAAUGCAUUGAAUAAUGUAAUGAACAACUGGAUUCGUUUUCCAGUAACUGCAGACAGAAUUGAAGAAAUCAAACAAGGAUUGUUUAGAAACGGUGGUUUUCCAGGAGUAAUCGGAGCAAUCGAUGGAACACAUGUUGCCAUUUUUCCACCCGAAGCUGAGAGAGAACAUUUAUUCAUUAAUAGAAAGUUAUAUCAUUCGCUAAAUGUGUUAAUGAUUUGUAAUUCUGAGUGCGAAAUUCUUGCCGUGAAUAGUGCCCAUGGUGGCCGAACACACGAUGCUCGUGUGUUACGGUCCUCAAGAAUAUUUGCUUAUUUAGAAAGGAGGCACAGAGAAGGUGAAACAAAUUCCUGGCUUCUAGGUGAUUCUGCGUACCCUCUUCUACCUUUUCUGCUAACGCCCAAAUUAAAUGAAGUAGAAGGAACUCCAGGUGCAAGAUACACAGAUCACCAUGUUCGAACUCGUUCAGCUAUAGAGCGCUGUUUUGGUAUUUUAAAAGGUCGUUGGCGUUGCUUACGAAAAGAACGAGCUGUACAUUAUAGUCCACAAUUUGCUGGUACCCAGAUAGCCAAACCUGAAAAACCAGAUUACGCGUAGAGUCUGCUAUAAAUUUCUGAUACCAAAAAGGCAACAGACUUCACACAGACUCUGUAAUAUCUGAUGGUGUCGACAAACUGCUGCUAGAGAUAUGACAAAAUCUAUUGACAUUCCAUGUCAACAAAUUGGCGGCAGAAAUGAAACAGAAUCUGCUGACAGAUCCUGGCGACAGACUGGCGCUCUCGUUGUCAAUGCAUGUUGCGUCCUGCACAAUAUGGCAAUUAGAUGGAGGGUUUCUAAUGAGGAAAUACAUUUAGAUGAACUAGAUGUUA